CAAGUCCAUCCUUGUUGCUGCAAAUGGCAAGAUUUCCUUCUUUGUUAUGGCUGAGUAGUAUUCCAUUAUGUGUAUACCACAUCUUCUUCAUCCAUUCAACACUUAGAUUGCUUCUGUAUCUUGGCAAUUGUAAAUAAUGUUUCUGUGAACAUUGAGGGUGCAUGUAUCUUUUUGAAUUAGUGCUUUUUUUUUUUUGGAUAUACACCAGGAGUGGAAUUGCUGGGUCAUAUGGUAGUUCUAUUUUAGUUUUUUGAGAAACCUCCAUACUGUUUGCCACAGCAGCUGCACCAGUUUUCAUUCUCACCAACAGUGUACGAGAGUUCCCCUUUUCCCACGUUCUCACUGACAUUUGUUGUUUGUGUUCUUUUUCAUAGCAGUGCAUGUGGUUUUGAUUUGCAUCAUCUCUGAUGAUCAGCGAUGUUGAGCAUCUUUUCCUGUACCUGUUGGCAUCUGCUAUUGACGAGAGUCUGAUGACAAGUGAGCAGAAUUUGAGAUGCGUCACUUAGUUAUUCCUUCAUCUGAUGUAUUUAGCGAUAUAUUAUUAAGCCAUGAACUGGACCCAGAAUAUCCAGUGUGGGGUUUAAGAAAACCAUUCAAUAUCUACAAAUUUUGCACUCCCAGUCUAUCCCUUCCCACACCCCUCCCCCUUGGCAACCACAAGUUUGUAUUCUAUGUCUAUGAGGCUGUUUCUGUUUUGUAUUUAUGUUUUAUUUAUUUUUUUUUUAGAUUCCACAUAUGAGCGAUCUCAUAUGGUAUUUUUCUUUCUCUUUCUGUCUUACUUCACUUAGAAUGACAUUCUCCAGGGACAUCCAUGUUGCUGCAAAUGGUGUUAUGUUGUUGUUUUUUAUGGCUGAAUAGUAUUCCAUUGUAUAAAUAUACCACCUCUUCUUUAUCCAGUCAUCUGUUGAUGGACAUUUAGUCUGUUUCCAUGUCUUGGCUGUUGUGAAUAGUGCUGCUAUGAACAUGGGGUUGCAGGUGUCUUUUUUGACUGACAGGCAUAUGUAGAAUAGAUAAACAAGAUUAUACAGUAUAGCACAUGGAAAUAUGUACAAGAUCUUGUAGCUCAUAGUGAAAAAAAUGUGACAAUGAAUAUAUGUAUGUUCAUGUAUAACUGAAAAAUUGUGCUCUACACUGGAAUUUGACACAACAUUGUAAAAUGACUAUUACUCAAUAAAAAAAUGUUAAAAAAAAGAAAACCAUUCAAAAUGGAAGUGCAUACACAGAGAAAUCAGACCACAUGUUGUUUAAGUGGCAGCACUGAAUGGGAGAGAAGGCAGAAUGAGGCAGCACAUACUUGACUUUGAAACAGACGUAGCUUUGCUCAAAGUUCUUCCUGAUGUCAAACCUUGCAUACGUGCUGGUUCUGUGACAUUUGGAGAAGAAAGAAGACUCUGUGAGUGUCUGGGGCCAUUUUAGGAGGUGGCACCAAAGGGUGGGAGCGCUGAGACAUCGCUUGUCCAAGAAGUCUGUUUAAGGACCCCCAGCUAACAGCCGUGAGUGAGCUCAGUGCCCGCACGCGGGUUUCCUGGGAGCUCGAGCCCGGCGCCGGGGCCCUGUCCCAGCUCUGUCUGCGGGGACCCUCCUCCCUCUGCCACCCUCUCCUCUGAGGCCCUUCCAGGAUGGGGCGAGGACCUCCAGCACCUGCUUCUCCACCAGGAGCUUUUGUAGGCGAUCCAGGCUCCUUGAGGGACAGUGGCAUCGUUAUUCUAACCAUCUGACAGGUGCACUGCAGAAAAGCAGAUGCUCCUUUUGGAGAAAGGGGAGAACCAAGCAGCAAAGGGGGAGCCCUUUUCAUACCCCCAACCUUGGGGGCAUCCCUGGAGGACCCCUCAGUGGUGAGGCGCUGCCCUGCCCCUGCAUCUUCAGGGGUGAACUCUGGGCUCUGGGGUGAGGUGAGCAGCAGCUCUGAGAAUCUGGGUGGCAGACCCUGGGGCCCCCCUCCUCCCUCCCUGGGCCAUCUUCUCAAAGUGCAUCAGUGGGUCUGUGGUCAAGCCCCGCUUCUCCGAAUGAAGGUGUCACUCUUGAGGGCGGGGACGGGGACGAUGGUUUCUGCUUCUUGACAGUGUUUCCGUUCAGAUCCCUGGUGCAGGGGCAGCAGGCAUGCUGGUUUUCUCCUCGUGUCCUGGUCUCCGCGGGCUCCCAUGGCAAACCGCCUCGGGCUCGGUGACUGAGACAGCAGACGACAGCUCUUCUCCCAGGGCCAGAGGCUGCAAGUCCAAGAGCAAGGUGUCGGUGGGUUUGGUUUCUUCUGAGGCCUCCCUCCCUGGCUUGCGGACGGCCAUCUCCUCGUUGGCAAGUCACGUGGUCCUCCUCUGUGCUCCAGCACCCCUGGUGUCUGUGUCUAAAUUCCCUCUUCUUCUGAGGAAGGUUGGGUUAACCAAGUUUAACUUCAUCACCUCUCUAAAGGCUCCGUCUCCAAAUACAGUCACAUCCUGAGCUCCUGCCAGUUAGAACAUCAAUGUAUGAGUUUGGAGGGUGGGCGUGAUAAGCCCAUAGCAGUUAAUCUCAUUUAAUGGGUUAUGAUGAAAUGUAGGAUUUAUAAGCUAAAUCAGAGUCCAGGUAGGCGCUGCCCAACUCAGAUUUGUGUGCCCCCAGCACUGCGUCUGGUCACGUUCAUGUGCAUUAAAUUACGUCGCUGUGUUACUUA